rnacentral:rRNA from 1 species
CUUUUCUUGAUUUUUAUUUGAAAUAUGACCUGCCCACUGAUUAAAUUGAAGGGCCGCGGUAUUUUGACCGUGCAAAGGUAGCAUAAUCAUUAGUCUCUUAAUUAGAGGCUGGAAUGAAUGGUUUGACGAGAUAAUGGCUGUCUUAUAAUUAUUUUGGUUGAAUUUAAUUAUUAAGUUAAAAAGCUUAAAUUUGAUUUUGGGACGAGAAGACCCUAUAGAGUUUAUAUAAAUAUUUAUAUAGGAGGGUUGGAUUUAUAAUUGAUAUAUAAGUAGUUAUUUGGUUGGGGUGAUUAAAAGAUAAAAUGUAACUCUUUAUUUUGUAUUUAUAUCGAUUAGUAUAUUUUUGAUCCAUUUAUAAUGAUUAUAAGAUUAAAUUACC